rnacentral:rRNA from 1 species
AUUGAACGCUGGCGGCAGGCCUAACACAUGCAAGUCGAGCGGAUGAAGGGAGCUUGCUCCUGGAUUCAGCGGCGGACGGGUGAGUAAUGCCUAGGAAUCUACCUGGUAGUGGGGGAUAACGUCCGGAAACGGGCGCUAAUACCGCAUACGUCCUGAGGGAGAAAGUGGGGGAUCUUCGGACCUCACGCUAUCAGAUGAGCCUAGGUCGGAUUAGCUAGUUGGUGGGGUAAAGGCCUACCAAGGCGACGAUCCGUAACUGGUCUGAGAGGAUGAUCAGUCACACUGGAACUGAGACACGGUCCAGACUCCUACGGGAGGCAGCAGUGGGGAAUAUUGGACAAUGGGCGAAGGCCUGAUCCAGCCAUGCCGCGUGUGUGAAGAAGGUCUUCGGAUUGUAAAGCACGUUAAGUUGGGAGGAAGGGCAGUAAGUUAAUACCUUGCUGUUUUGACGUUACCAACAGAAUAAGCACCGGCUAACUUCGUG